UGGGGAAUAUUGCACAAUGGGCGGAAGCCUGAUGCAGCAACGCCGCGUGCGGGAUGACGGCCUUCGGGUUGUAAACCGCUUUCGCCUGUGACGAAGCGUGAGUGACGGUAAUGGGUAAAGAAGCACCGGCUAACUACGUGCCAGCAGCCGCGGUGAUACGUAGGGUGCGAGCGUUGUCCGGAUUUAUUGGGCGUAAAGGGCUCGUAGGUGGUUGAUCGCGUCGGAAGUGUAAUCUUGGGGCUUAACCCUGAGCGUGCUUUCGAUACGGGUUGACUUGAGGAAGGUAGGGGAGAAUGGAAUUCCUGGUGGAGCGGUGGAAUGCGCAGAUAUCAGGAGGAACACCAGUGGCGAAGGCGGUUCUCUGGGCCUUUCCUGACGCUGAGGAGCGAAAGCGUGGGGAGCGAACAGGCUUAGAUACCCUGGUAGUCCACGCUGUAAACGGUGGGUACUAGGUGUGGGGUCCAUUCCACGGGUUCCGUGCCGUAGCUAACGCUUUAAGUACCCCGCCUGGGGAGUACGGCCGCAAGGCUAAAACUCAAAGGAAUUGACGGGGCCCCGCACAAGCGGCGGAGCAUGCGGAUUAAUUCGAUGCAACGCGUAGAACCUUACCUGGGUUUGACAUGGAUCGGGAGCGCUCAGAGAUGGGUGUGCCUCUUUUGGGGUCGGUUCACAGGUGGUGCAUGGCUGUCGUCAGCUCGUGUCGUGAGAUGUUGGGUUAAGUCCCGCAACGAGCGCAACCCUUGUUCACUGUUGCCAGCACGUUAUGGUGGGGACUCAGUGGAGACCGCCGGGGUCAACUCGGAGGAAGGUGGGGAUGACGUCAAGUCAUCAUGCCCCUUAUGUCCAGGGCUUCACGCAUGCUACAAUGGCUGGUACAGAGAGUGGCGAGCCUGUGAGGGUGAGCGAAUCUCGGAAAGCCGGUCUCAGUUCGGAUUGGGGUCUGCAACUCGACCUCAUGAAGUCGGAGUCGCUAGUAAUCGCAGAUCAGCAACGCUGCGGU
rnacentral:rRNA from 1 species